GACGAACGCUGGCGGCGUGCUUAACACAUGCAAGUCGAACGGAAAGGCCCUGCUUUUGUGGGGUGCUCGAGUGGCGAACGGGUGAGUAACACGUGAGUAACCUGCCCUUGACUUUGGGAUAACUUCAGGAAACUGGGGCUAAUACCGGAUAGGAGCUCCUGCUGCAUGGUGGGGGUUGGAAAGUUUCGGCGGUUGGGGAUGGACUCGCGGCUUAUCGGCUUGUUGGUGGGGUAGUGGCUUACCAAGGCUUUGACGGGUAGCCGGCCUGAGAGGGUGACCGGCCACAUUGGGGCUGAGGUACGGCCCAGACUCCUACGGGGGGCAGCAGUGGGGAAUAUUGCACAAUGGGCGGAAGCCUGAUGCAGCAACGCCGCGUGCGGGAUAACGGCCUUCGGGUUGUAAACCGCUUUCGCCUGUGACGAAGCGUGAGUGACGGUAAUGGGUAAAGAAGCACCGGCUAACUACGUG
rnacentral:rRNA from 1 species